rnacentral:rRNA from 1 species
UACGGAGGGUGCAAGCGUUAUCCGGAAUUACUGGGUUUAAAGGGUGCGUAGGCGGCUUGAUAAGUAAGAGGUGAAAGCCUAUCGCUUAACGAUAGAAUUGCCUUUGAUACUGUAAAGCUUGAAAGGGGUUGAGGUCAGCAGAAUGUGGCAUGUAGGGGUGAAAUGCAUAGUUAUGCCAUAGAACACCGAUUGCGAAGGCAGCUGGCUGGGCCUACUUUGACGCUGAGGCACGAAAGCGUGGGGAGCGAACAGG